rnacentral:rRNA from 1 species
GAUGAACGCUGGCGGCGUGCCUAAUACAUGCAAGUCGAGCGAACAGACGAGGAGCUUGCUCCUCUGACGUUAGCGGCGGACGGGUGAGUAACACGUGGAUAACCUACCUAUAAGACUGGGAUAACUUCGGGAAACCGGAGCUAAUACCGGAUAAUAUAUUGAACCGCAUGGUUCAAUAGUGAAAGACGGUUUUGCUGUCACUUAUAGAUGGAUCCGCGCCGCAUUAGCUAGUUGGUAAGGUAACGGCUUACCAAGGCGACGAUGCGUAGCCGACCUGAGAGGGUGAUCGCCCACACGGGAACUGAGACAGGGUCCAGACUCCUACGGGAGGCAGCAGUAGGGAAUCUUCCGCAAUGGGCGAAAGCCUGACGGAGCAACGCCGCGUGAGUGAUGAAGGUCUUCGGAUCGUAAAACUCUGUUAUUAGGGAAGAACAAAUGUGUAAGUAACUAUGCACGUCUUGACGGUACCUAAUCAGAAAGCCACGGCUAACUACGUG